rnacentral:misc_RNA from 1 species
CUGUUGACGCUCCAUCCCCGUCAAUCAUUCCCCAAGUGAACCUUUCACUUGUGGGCUUGUGAGGUAUCCUGUGUUGCUUACCGUUGGAAUGGAAUUUGUCGGCUUUGUUAUUGGCAUGUGCCAUGUGCCUAUAUGGGUGCGAGGUGGAUGUGAGGCGAGCCCUAURCUCCCAGCAUGCUAAUUGYUUCGGCAUUUGGUUGUUGUGGCUCAUGGGGUYUUCGUUUGUUCUCUUGGAUGCGGAAUGUUGUGUGGGAGUGAGGUAUCAAUCUGCAAUCGUCCCACAAACUUUUAACUCGAAUGAUUGCUGCGCUUGUCUUGAUCUUUCUGACCGAGGCCUCAUAAUGGGGCUUACCGGAUGAGGGUUGAAGAAGUGCGUGUUAGCGUCAACGAGUUUUAAAUCGAAUGACUGCUGCGUUUGUAUUGAUCUUCCCGAUCGAGGCCUCGUAGUGGGGCUUACCGAACGAGGGUUGAACAUGCUGACGUUAGCGUCAAAGAGGAUAGC